CGGGUGAGUAACACGUGGAUAACCUACCUAUAAGACUGGGAUAACUUCGGGAAACCGGAGCUAAUACCGGAUAAUAUUUUGAACCGCAUGGUUCAAAAGUGAAAGACGGUCUUGCUGUCACUUAUAGAUGGAUCCGCGCUGCAUUAGCUAGUUGGUAAGGUAACGGCUUACCAAGGCGACGAUGCAUAGCCGACCUGAGAGGGUGAUCGGCCACACUGGAACUGAGACACGGUCCAG
rnacentral:rRNA from 1 species